rnacentral:rRNA from 1 species
AUUGAACGCUGGCGGCAUGCCUUACACAUGCAAGUCGAACGGCAGCGGACCUUCGGGUGCCGGCGAGUGGCGAACGGGUGAGUAAUGUAUCGGAACGUACCUUUCAGUGGGGGAUAACGUAGCGGAAGUUACGCUAAUACCGCAUAUUCUGUGAGCAGGAAAGCAGGGGAUCGAAAGACCUUGCGCUGAUUGAGCGGCCGAUAUCAGAUUACUCAGUUGGUGAGGUAAAGGCUCACCAAGGCGACGCUCUGUAGCGGGUCUGAGAGGAUGAUCCGCCACACUGGAACUGUGACACGGUCCAGACUCCUACGGGAGGCAGCAGUGGGGAAUUUUGGACAAUGGGGGCAACCCUGAUCCAGCCAUGCCGCGUGAGUGAAGAAGGCCUUCGGGUUGUAAAGCUCUUUCGGCAGGAACGAAACGUCGAGCUCUAACAUAGCUUGCUAAUGACGGUACCUGAAGAUGAAGCACCGGCUAACUACGUGCCAGCAGCCGCCGUAAAAC